UACAGAGGGUGCAAGCGUUAAUCGGAAUUACUGGGCGUAAAGCGCGCGUAGGUGGUUGGUUAAGUUGGAUGUGAAAGCCCCGGGCUCAACCUGGGAACUGCAUCCAAAACUGGCCAGCUAGAGUACGGUAGAGGGUGGUGGAAUUUCCUGUGUAGCGGUGAAAUGCGUAGAUAUAGGAAGGAACACCAGUGGCGAAGGCGACCACCUGGACUGAUACUGACACUGAGGUGCGAAAGCGUGGGGAGCAAACAGG
rnacentral:rRNA from 1 species